rnacentral:tRNA from 1 species
CGGGGCGUGGCGCAGCCCGGCUAGCGCACCUCAAUGGGGUUGAGGGGGUCGUCAGUUCAAAUCUGACCGCCCCGA